rnacentral:rRNA from 1 species
AAGCGAAUAGUGAAAUCUGGCGGCUCAACCGUACAGGCUAUUAUUCGAACUCACUAACUCGAGAGUGGUAGAGGUUACUGGAAUUUCUAGUGUAGGAGUGAAAUCCGUAGAUAUUAGAAGGAACACCAAUGGCGUAGGCAGGUAACUGGACCAUUUCUGACACUAAGGCACGAAAGCGUGGGGAGCGAACCGGAUUAGAUACCCGGGUAGUCCACGCCGUAAACGAUGGAUACUA